UGUACCCUUAAGUACCCAGUUGUUACGCCAGACAGUUUUGUGCUCUGCUGGUAACCAUUGGACUAAAAGCAGUAUGUAAUUUUGUCUGUGGCAAUCGAACCAUUAUUUAAAGACAAAUCAUACCCAAGGCUACCAUCCUGGAGAUGAAUUAUAGUGAGAUUUUUCCGAGAUUGCUUUUUUGUGAUUAUGUUCCCAAGCACACAAGUGGAAGGUCAUGUUGAAGUUUUAUGCAAGUGAAAUACUGGUGACUUGAAAUGGAACAUUGCUGGGGAUAGGUCUUGUGAAUAACACUCACGAUAGACUACAUGCAAGGAAUGUUAAUGGGUGUACAAUACGUGGCUGAGGAGGGUCGGAAACACUCGCAUGAAUCGUAGGACCGUUCCAUAUACUACAGGAACUUCAAGAAUGGUUGUACAUGCAAGACAAAGAGUUUCUGA